CUCUAGGUAUAGGUGUAAAUUGGGAGGAAGGUUCUGAGAGUGUUUUAGGGUUUAUAUUUUGGUGAUCAUGUGUUUUCUUGCUCAUUUCAGAAUAUAUCUUAAUCUAAUUUUCUGUAAUAAUAAUGUUUAUUAAAAUAAUGUUGCCUAAGAAACUUGACAAUAUGUGACACAAACCACACUGAUGGCUCAACUCUAUUCAGGUCAAGAAGAAGGAAUUAAAUAGAUGUAAUCUUCCAUUUGAGGGCCUUUCUAUUGCCAUUAUUAUUAGGUGUCAUUCUUAUCAAAAGUCUUCCCUGCUCAAAUCCAUCCUGCUCAACCUUUAUUUUUAAAGUAGAGAUAACAACAUAGCAAAAUAAAUAAAUAAAUAAAGUCCAAAUUUAUUAACAAUUUAAAUUAAAAAAAUAAACUCAAAAGAUAUAAAUAUAUAUAUAUAUAUCAGGUCUCAGGAUGAAGAAGGCCUUUCUUAGGUGAAAAGCAGAGGAAGAAGACCUAAAUGGAGAAAAUAUCUAUACUUGUUCAGAUAGAAAGGACAACUGAUUCUCAAAAAUCAGAGCAAGCAAAGU